GAUGAACGCUGGCGGCGUGCCUAAUACAUGCAAGUCGAGCGAAUGGAUUAAGAGCUUGCUCUUAUGAAGUUAGCGGCGGACGGGUGAGUAACACGUGGGUAACCUGCCCAUAAGACUGGGAUACCUCCGGGAAACCGGGGCUAAUACCGGAAAACAUUUUGAACCGCAUGGCUCGAAAUUGAAAGGCGGCCUCGGCUGUCCCUUAUGGAUGGACCCGGGUCGCAUUAGCUAGUUGGUGAGGUAACGGCUCACCAAGGCAACGAUGCGUAGCCGACCUGAGAGGGUGAUCGGCCACACUGGGUCUGAGACACGGCCCAGACUCCUACGGGAGGCAGCAGUAGGGAAUCUUCCGCAAUGGACGAAAGUCUGACGGAGCAACGCCGCGUGAGUGAUGAAGGCUUUCGGGUCGUAAAACUCUGUUGUUAGGGAAGAACAAGUGCUAGUUGAAUAAGCUGGCACCUUGACGGUACCUAACCAGAAAGCCACGGCUAACUACGUGCCAGCAGCCGCGGUAA
rnacentral:rRNA from 1 species